AGCUGAUCAGCAUUCACAAAAGUAAACAGCACCUUUGUAUAGUGUUAAAUUCUGACAUAUACUGCACCAAAGGAGGUCUGUGUGUGUUUAUAAAGCAGCAGGCUAUGGGGAGGUGUGACAGACCUGUAUAUAAGAAAGAAUCUGAAAAGAUACCAAAAAGAUGACAACCUAUCUUCAAGUUGGGAAAAUCCAUGUCCUAAUGUUGUUAUGGCUGAUUAUGGAGGGUUUUGCUGGACGAAAUUCUUUUGCAUUUUCAGAGGACUGCAUGGGUAUUUUGGGUUUGACUCAGACAACAUCAAGAUGGAAAUCGUGAUUGUGGUAUCAAAGUCAAUGUAACUGAACUAGUUUUUGGAAAAUGAUCAACAACAUCAAAAUGAACAUUAUGAUCCUGAACGUAUUAAUAUAGCAUUGGACAAAGGCCGGUCUAAUGUUACAAGUUGUACAAAAUGGGUUAAAUGUGGCAAAGAAACAUUUAUUUUUAAGUUUAUUUUUGCAAAAUAUGACAGUCAAGGACUGUCACAAUGACUAAGGCACAAUGAAGUUAGAUGCAUUUAAAUAUGCACCUUUACGCUUAGUUAAAUGACAAUAUGUAGAGGCUAUUGUUUACACCAUGUAUCUCUCUUUGCCACUAAGGAAUCCUGAAUGGCCAAUUAUACUUCAGGAUUUAAACAGUUAGAGUAUUAUGUAAAUAGUUAUAAUAAGUCAGAGGCAGAAAUUGCAAAAGCACUGUUAACAAACAAAGUAUAGACUUAGUUAAAAAAGAAAAGGCAUUUCAGAAUAGGGUAAUGUUUUCUAAAAUGAUGCAAUAGAGUAUACUAUUUUGAGAUUUGCAGCAAGCAACAGUGUAUGCAAAUGUUUAAGGAUAUGUGCCUGUAUUUUGUUUAUUGACUCAUUCAUUCACUGAUUUAUUUAUGAGUUAUAGUGAUUUUUGAUUGGUUUACUGUUUGGCCAAUUGGAGAAAGGUACACCCUAGAAAAAGGGCGCUUGGUUUUAAGCUUUUAUCAGCUAAGAGUACGGCUGCAAAGCCGAAACAUGUCAGCUGUUUUUUCCUUUCUCCAACUUACCAACCAGCUGCUGUCAAGCCCAUAAAAUUCUGAAGAUACGGAAUUUUUACUAUAUGAAGCAAGCAUUGAAAUUUUAUUUUGUAGCUGUUUAUGAGGAAAUAAAUGCUACUUUUUUCAUCUA